ACGGACUUGAAAAAUAAUUGUGACUUUAUAUAUGCAAAUGGGUAUUAACAAACUGAAUUACUAAUUCUGACUCUUUCCUCUGAACUAAAGGGACACAUCGGUUGACGUAACUCCUGUGGAGAAUGGAUUUCAUCUUUUGCUGAAGUUUUGUUCCAGCCAAAGCCGGACCUCUUGAAGGUUGUAGAAAAAGGGGCCUUUGCCCCCCAGUUUCCCUUUAUCACUGUCAAAUGAAGAGAGAGAGACUUCCUUACCUUUCCAGACAAAAUAAAUACAAACAAAGCAGCAAAAGAUUCUCAUAUAUUGUGGAGGUGAUGAGUCUUCUUCCAAUAUUGCUCCUCAGUUUAUUUUGUCCCCUUUACAAUUUGAU